GGGGCUAUAGCCCAGCUGGGAGAGCGCCUGCCUUGCACGCAGGAGGUUAGGAGUUCGUUCCUCCUUGGCUCCACCA
rnacentral:tRNA from 1 species